UACGAAGGGGGCUAGCGUUGCUCGGAAUCACUGGGCGUAAAGCGCACGUAGGCGGAUUGUUAAGUCAGGGGUGAAAUCCUGGAGCUCAACUCCAGAACUGCCUUUGAUACUGGCGAUCUUGAGUCCGGGAGAGGUGAGUGGAACUGCGAGUGUAGAGGUGAAAUUCGUAGAUAUUCGGAAGAACACCAGUGGCGAAGGCGGCUCACUGGCCCGUUACCGACGCUCAGGCGCGACAGCGUGGGGAGCAAACAGG
rnacentral:rRNA from 1 species